AAAGUCUGAUGUAGGCCCAUUUCCUAUGAUAAUGCCAAAUCCUGUCAAGGUAGAAUGCAUUCCAAACAAGCCAAAGAAGAAAUGUAAAUCACAGCCACGCCAAAGAGAAGUUCCACAGAAUAGAUCAUCACCAAAUAGGCACUGCACUAGGACAAUGUCCAAAACUGCUCUCUGCAAGCCAGAGGCUAAGAAAGAACUUCCACCUCCAAGCGACAC